UACGGAGGAUCCAAGCGUUAUCCGGAUUCAUUGGGUUUAAAGGGUGCGUAGGCGGCCUGAUAAGUCAGCGGUGAAAUCUCUCGGCUCAACCGAGAAACUGCCGUUGAUACUGUUAGUCUUGAAUGCAGAUGAUGUGGGCGGAAUAUGACAUGUAGUGGUGAAAUACUUAGAUAUGUCAUAGAACACCGAUUGCAAAGGCAGCUCACAAAACUGUGAUUGACGCUGAUGCACGAAAGCGUGGGGAUCAAACAGG
rnacentral:rRNA from 1 species